rnacentral:rRNA from 1 species
GAUGAACGCUGGCGGCGUGCCUAAUACAUGCAAGUCGAGCGAACGGACGAGAAGCUUGCUUCUCUGAUGUUAGCGGCGGACGUGUGAGUAACACGUGGAUAACCUACCUAUAAUACUUGGAUAACUUCGGGAAACCUGAUCUAAUACCGGAUAAUAUUUUGAACCUCUUGGUUCAAAAGUGAAAUACGGUCUUGCUGUCUCUUAUAGAUGGUUCCUCGCUGCAUUAGCUAGUUGGUAAGGUAACGGCUUACCAAGGCAACGAUGCAUAGCCGACCUGAGAGGGUGAUAGGCGAAACUGGAACUGAGACACGGACAAGACUCCUACGGGAGGAAGCAGUAGGGAAUAUUCCGCAAUGGGCGAAAGCAUGACGGAGCAAAGCCGAGUGAGAGAUGAAGGUCUUCGGAUCGUAAAACUCUGUUAGUAGGGAAGAACAAAUGUGUAAGAAACCGUGAACAUAGUGACGGUACCUAAACAGAAAGCCACGGCUAACUACGUG